UAGAGGUCCGCCUGCCUGUGACUAUAUGUUUAACGGCCGCGGUAUUUUGACCGUGCGAAGGUAGCGCAAUCACUUGUCUCUUAAAUGGAGACCUGUAUGAAUGGCAUAACGAGGGCCUGACUGUCUCCUUUUUCAGGUCAAUGAAAUUGAUCUUCCCGUGCAGAAGCGGAAAUAGACACAUAAGACGAGAAGACCCUAUGGAGCUUUAGACAGAAACAGACCAUGUUAAGCACCCUCAAAUAAGAGGCCAAACCUGAUGUCCACUGCCUAAUGUCUUUGGUUGGGGCGACCGCGGCGAAACAAAUAACCCCCGUGUAGAAAGAGGGCUCCCCCCUUCAAAUCAAGAGCUACCGCUCGAACAAUCAGGAUACCUGACUAAACAAGAUCCGGCAACGCCAAUCAACGGACCGAGUUACCCUAGGGAUAACAGCGCAAUCCCCUUCUAGAGUCCAUAUCGACAAGGGGGUUUACGACCUCGAUGUUGGAUCAGGACAUCCUAAUGGUGCAGCCGCUAUUAAGGGUUCGUUUGUUCAACGAUAAAAGUCCUACGUGAUCUG
rnacentral:rRNA from 1 species